CUCCGGGACUCUAAAACUGGUUUUGGACCAUGCAGUAAUGACAGCAGACAAGACAAGGUCACCUGCUGAAAGCGGAUGUCCAUGUCGAAGCUGUGGAUUGGAGGCUGACAUGCGUUGCCUGACCUUCGGCAUGCGAGCUGUUUGAUGGGGCUACAGUCUCUAUAGCUGUGACAAUGGCAGGCUUCCUGUCGAGCAGGAGCACUGGAGCUGCUGAAAUGUCACAGAGCCUCUUCAUUGUCUUUCCUAACUGGCCACACAACAAGCAGCAGAGGUCUGGCAGUCAACAGAAAGGGCACGGCUGCAUACCCCAAGGCAAUGCUUUAGGCUUCCAUAAACGUAGGACAUACUAAAUAAAUG